GGCCUAACACAUGCAAGUCGAACGCCCCGCAAGGGGAGUGGCAGACGGGUGAGUAACGCGUGGGAACCUACCUUACGGUCGGGAAUAGCUCAGGGAAACUUGGGGUAAUACCGGAUACGCCCUUACGGGGAAAGAUUUAUCGCCGUUAGAUGGGCCCGCGUAGGAUUAGCUAGUUGGUGAGGUAAUGGCUCACCAAGGCGACGAUCCUUAGCUGGUCUGAGAGGAUGAUCAGCCACACUGGGACUGAGACACGGCCCAGACUCCUACGGGAGGCAGCAGUGGGGAAUAUUGGACAAUGGGCGCAAGCCUGAUCCAGCCAUGCCGCGUGAGUGACGAAGGCCUUAGGGUUGUAAAGCUC
rnacentral:rRNA from 1 species